UCUAACAUAUUUGGCAGCAGCGCCACUAAAACUCCACGUCCCGUCAUGCUUUGCGCGCACACGUCGUGCUGAGGGGGCAGCGUGUGCUGCGCUGCGGCGCUCCGGCGAUGGCUCAGUGCGGCUCAGGCUCUUCACGGGAGCGCAACGUGUCGCCGGAGCUGCGGCGGAAGACAGACCAUCACCCCGCUGGACCGCAAGGAGGAACCGGCUACUUGCGCUGCUGACUGCGGGGGAUAAUCACUCCGAUCGAUCUGCUUGAUUUGCCUCAAAAAGCAGCAGUCGACGUUGCUCACGGAUUCUUUGGAAGCAUUAAACGGAUUAAAAUCCGGCAUCGACUCACGUGGAGGAGUUAUUAGUAUUAUUAACGCUUAUUGGUAAGGCUUUUGUGAUGACAACAGCUGAUGGAUUCAACACUCCAGCUGUGCGUGGUCCUGCGGGACACGAGGACACACGGGCUCCCUCACGGUAUGGAUGCUGUCCGGUUCUUCUGCGGGACGAGCGGCGUGUCGGACAGGCGAGUCUCGUGGGAUACUUGACGCGCGUGGCCCCGUGUCACGGAUGGUCAGCGCCGCGAUGUGGUUUUGGGAAAAAUCGAUAUUCGUCGCGCUGGAUUUUUGGAAAGGAAUAUCCUGGAAUAUAACUCGAGAGUGCUCCGCAGAGGAGCCAGCUGUUUGGAUACUGACCCGAACGCGUGUCCUCAUCCAGCAGUGAAGGAAUCCAAACUCUUGGAAUGAGAUGUCAACCUUUUUUUAAUUGCUUCCCAGGGAAUUUCUGAUGAUCUCAGGUGAGCACAGAGAAGAGGCUCAGCAAUGGAAACAUGAUCGUAAGAGAUGCAUCAGGAUCGCACUAAAUCCCCGGUCCUGACCGUGGACCAGCAUCCCCUGCAGCAGAUGUUGGCUCCUGGCGUGUCUGCUCCAUCACUGACAAUCCGGCUCUCCUUGGAGAAGCUGUGACAUAAACUCAGCAGGACAGCGGAGUGUAUUCGGCUGCUCGGAUAUUAUGGAACAGAUCAGUGGACCCCGUCUGGAAAGGCACUCGAUAGGAAAGUCAACUCCUAUGGAGUUCCCAAUCACCGUGGUUACCUCAAUGGAUCUACACAUCGUGUGACUCUUUUUCUAAAUUGAACCUGGAUUAAUAUUUCCCUGUAUGUACAUCUGCUUUUGAUAAUCAGUGUUUAUUCAUGCAGUGGCUCAUUUGCUGCAGAUGUGACAUAUACUGUGUUAUUCUGGAUACAGUAUCAACAAAUGCUGGAACGGUAAAUGGAAAAUAAUCAGAUGUUGUUUUCAUUUUUGAGGUCCGACGGACUGAAAGCGGCACUCGCACCAAUGCAGUCACGUACAAAAGUGCACUUUCUCGCGAGCGGCACGAUAAAUGUUUCCCGUUGUGUAAAAAUGUAAUUAAUACGCAUUUCUCAGAAAGGAUUACUCAGUCAAUGGACAUCUGACAGCUUCCAACUGCGAUCACAAAGAAGCCAUUGUAAUCCAGGUGCUUACGAAUACGACUAUUGACACCACAUCUGUAGUUUUGGUUAAUAAUCUUGUCAUGCUGUUUGUUCUGAUCAUGAUUUACAGCGUAAUCAUUUUUGGUUGUGUGUAUGUGAAGAAGAAAUAAAAACAAAAGGUGUGUCCAA